rnacentral:rRNA from 1 species
GAUGAACGCUGGCGGCGUGCCUAACACAUGCAAGUCGAGCGAAGCACUUUGCUUAGAUUCUUCGGAUGAAGAGGAUUGUGACUGAGCGGCGGACGGGUGAGUAACGCGUGGGUAACCUGCCUCAUACAGGGGGAUAACAGUUAGACAUGACUGCUAAUACCGCAUAAGACCACAGCACCACAUGGUGCGGGGGUAAAAACUCCGGUGGUAUGAGAUGGACCCGCGUCUGAUUAGCUAGUUGGUAAGGUAACGGCUUACCAAGGCGACGAUCAGUAGCCGACCUGAGAGGGUGACCGGCCACAUUGGGACUGAGACACGGCCCAAACUCCUACGGGAGGCAGCAGUGGGGAAUAUUGCACAAUGGGGGAAACCCUGAUGCAGCGACGCCGCGUGAGCGAAGAAGUAUUUCGGUAUGUAAAGCUCUAUCAGCAGGGAAGAAAAUGACGGUACCUGACUAAGAAGCACCGGCUAAAUACGUGCCAGCAGCCGCGGUAAUACGUAUGGUGCAAGCGUUAUCCGGAUUUACUGGGUGUAAAGGGAGCGUAGACGGAUGGGCAAGUCUGAUGUGAAAACCCGGGGCUCAACCCCGGGACUGCAUUGGAAACUGUUCAUCUAGAGUGCUGGAGAGGUAAGUGGAAUUCCUAGUGUAGCGGUGAAAUGCGUAGAUAUUAGGAGGAACACCAGUGGCGAAGGCGGCUUACUGGACAGUAACUGACGUUGAGGCUCGAAAGCGUGGGGAGCAAACAGG